GCGACCCACACCCUGAGAUGCUGUGCUGGCUGAGACAAGACGAGAUGUCGGUCCAGGAGCUGCUACAGAGGGUGCAGUGUGUCAUCACUCAUGUUGAUGAGAUCAUGCAGCAGGAUAUCAGGCCCCUGCUGGCUGUAGACAUCAUAGAGCAGCUUCAUCUCCAGUUUGCCUUGCUCUCAGGAGGGCGAGGGAAAGAUGGCGCCCCCAUUAUCACCUUCCCAGAGUACUCAGGCUUCAGCGAAGUGCCAGAGGAAGACUUCCUCAAUGUUGUUACUUACCUGACCAGCAUCCCCAGCCUGGAUGCUGCCAGUAUCGGCUUUGUUAUCAUCAUCGACCGGCGAAAGGACAAAUGGAGCUCCGUAAAGGCCUCUCUAUCCAGGAUCGCUGGGGCGUUUCCAGGAAACCUGCAGCUGGUGUUGGUGCUGAGGCCGUCCAGGUUCUUCCAGAGGGCUAUGGCAGACAUCGGGCUCAAGCUGCACAAAGAUGACUUUAAAAUGAAGGUACCGGUUGUGAUGCUGAACUCUCUGUCAGACCUGCAUGGCUAUGUGGAUAAAGGCCACCUGACCCGGGAGCUUGGAGGAAGCCUAGAGUACUGUCACAGUCAGUGGAUACACCACCGAACUGCCAUAGAGAACUUUGCCAUGACAGUGAAAACCACAGCCCAGAUGUUACAGAAGUUUGGGACAGACCUGGCAGAGACGGAGCUGCCCAAUGACGUACAGUGCACCAAAGAUCUGCUCACAGCACACACCGACAAACACGACAACCUCAAGGAUGAACUGAAGCUAGCUUUAAAACAGGGCACCACCCUGUUAGGUUGUAUCAAGGAGCAGACACCCAAGUCAGAGAAUCACAAACUCAACCCUGACGAGAUGGAGAAUCAAAUCACUGUGGAAAGGCUCUUAGCCCAGCUGGAUGAGACAGAGAACGCCUUUGAACAGUUCUGGUGUAAACAUCAUCUGAAACUGGAGCAGUGCUUGCAGCUACGCCACUUUGAACAGGACUUCAGAGAGGUCAAAGUGUCUCUAGACAGUUUGAUGGACAGUCUAGCUAGCCUGCCAGAUACCGGGGAUUGUGUGGCCAGAGUUGAACACCUGCUAAAGGAACUGAAAACACUUGAGGAGAAGGCUCAGCCCGCGCUAGAGAAGGCCCAGCUCCACGCACUGCAUGGUGACCAGCUGAUCCAGAGCAAUCACUACGCUGUGGACUCGAUUCGACCCAAAUGUGUGGAGCUCCGGCGAGUCUGCGAUGACUUCAGCAACGAGACCAAGAAAAAGACAAAUGUCUUGUCCAAAUCCCUGAAUAUACACAGGGGCAUUGAUAAGGUGAACGAGUGGUGUGAGUCCGGCAUCUACCUGCUGGCCUCUCAGGCUGUGGAUAAGUGUCAGUCACAGGAGGGGGCAGAGUCAGCACGGACCGAAAUUGAAGGCUUUCUGGAGUUGGCAGAGAAGAACCAACUGACUGAACUAAGGAACCUCCACAACCAGUGUGAGGUUGUCUUGUCAGAGGAUAUAAAGGCCAGUGUCCUGAAGGCACUAAAGCGCCUGGAGGAUGUCCAGGAGAUGUUUGAGAAGCGACACGUCAGUCUGAAGAGACUGUCGGCUAAACAGACGAGGCCCGUCCAGCCCGUUGCACCGCGGCCUGAGUCCUCUCCAAAACGGCCAUCACUGAAGAACCCCCCCAGGACUACAGGGAGCCACCAGCCUCUGGCUCGCAGAACUUCUGACAACUCUAACAGUGGCAGCAAGCCAGCCGAAGCUGACCCCAACAAGAAGAAGAACGUACGCAAGGCCAAAGGAGGCAUCAAGAUUGAGGUGAUGCAUGAGGAAAGCCAAGGAGGCUCCACCCAUGUUGUUGUGACCAAUGAGACAGAGGAGAGUCUGUCCAACAGACGCAGACACAUCAUGACUGAGCUGAUUGAAACAGAGAGGCUAUAUGUGGAGGAACUGCAAAGCAUCAUGGAGGGUUAUUUUGCAGAGCUGGAUAACUCAGAACUCAGCCACCUCAUCCCCCCGUCUCUGGAGAACAAAAGGAAUGUGCUAUUUGGCAAUCUGCCAGAGAUAUAUGAAUUUCACAACAGGACAUUUCUAAGGGAGCUGGAAAACUUUACAGAGAAACCAGAGAUGGUGGGAACCUGUUUUCUGAAAAGGAAAGAAGAACUUCAGGUGUAUGAGAAGUACUGUCAGAAUAAACCCCGCUCUGAAGUCCUCUGGAGACAAUGUGGAGACAGCUUCUUCUUUCAGGAGUGCCAGAAGAAGCUGGAUCACAAACUGUCUCUGGAUGCCUACCUGCUGAAGCCUGUCCAAAGGAUCACCAAAUACCAACUCAUGCUCAAGGAGAUGUUAAAAUGCAGUAAGGGCGAGGGGACGGCCGAGUUGGAAGAGGCGUUAGCAACCAUGCUGAACAUCAUCAAGUCUGUCAACGACUCCAUGCACCAGAUAGCCAUCACUGGCUUUGAGGGAAACCUGAGUGAACUUGGGAAGCUGCUGAUGCAGGGAUCGUUUAAUGUAUGGACCGACCACAAGAAAGGCCACAGCAAGGUGAAGGACCUGGCCAGGUUUAAGCCCAUGCAGAGGCACCUGUUCCUAUACGACAAGAUGCUGCUGUUUUGUAAGAAACGAGAGGAGACUACGGAUGGACACGAGAAGACCCCAUCCUACAGCUUCAAACACUCGCUCAAGAUGAGUGCUGUGGGGAUCACAGAGAACGUCAAAGGUGACAACAAGAAGUUUGAGGUGUGGUACAACGGCAGAGAGGAGGUUUACAUCAUCCAGGCUCCUUCCAUGGAUGUGAAAAAUAUGUGGGUGUCAGAGAUUCGUAAAGUUCUUACAGGCCAGCUACAGGCUUGCAGAGAAGCCAGCCAGCUCAACAUCUAUGGGGCCCCCAUGAGGACUGUGCGUAAGAUGAUGCUGAGACAGUCUGAUUCAUCAAGUCCAGAGUCAGGCUUCAGGAGGACCAACCCUAGCCCUAACAUGAGGCAGAAGAGAGUUGAUGCUUCAGUCAACCAAUCAGGUCACUCAACUGCUAACGCUAGGAAACGCUUCACCUUGCAGGGACUUUCUAACAGGAGGUCUCUUCCAGCAGAGCCUGCUGCUAAGGAGGCAGAGGUUGCCCGCCGCUUCUCUCUCACCUCAUCUCCUCCUCCUCCUCCUUCGCUACGAGACGCACAAAAGGCUGGGUCCAGCGGCGUCUCCCUUCUAUGGACGCAGACGACUUUGAGACGAUCCCCUCCAGUGCAGAGGAGUCCUCCAACUCUUCAGAAGAGGAAGGCAACAAUAAAAAUGGUGACAGUGGUCGUUACCGGGUGCAGCUGACCUAUGAGUCUCGUGAAGCGAGCGACCUCUCUCUGGAGAAAAGUGACCUGGUCCAGUUUCUAGAGGAAGCGGAAAACAGACACUGAUAUCUUCAGUGAUCUGCAUACAGCAGCACUCUCCAACUUGAACGAAAAUGAAGCAAGGACGUGUUUCAGGACAGCAUAUAAACAUGGCUGACUACUGACAAACAUUUUUUGUUGGAUCACAAACAUGGCUUAUAACUCAACUGUAAUUUGCUAUGAUGGGCUUUAAAUAUGAACAACUAUUCAUUUUCUACUUGUAGUUCUUAAUGUUGGACUACAAAUAUGGCCUGCUAUUGUUUUUCAACUGUAGUUUUUUCUCAUUAAAGCUUCUCAGUGAAACCUCUGUAAAAUGCUGGAACCUUUACAUGCCUGAGUGCCACAGUGGGAAAGCCAUAUAAGAAUUCUAAUUCAAGGAAGUACCAGCUGCCAACUGUGGACUGAAGACUGCAUGGAUGUGGACACUGAACUUUAUAUCAAAUUUGAAUUAAUUCAGAUUACGCACUGUAGAAUAUGCAAUUCCUGAGUGGUUGGGCUGGAUACCUGGAAACUCAAAUCCCAUUUCUGACUCGGAUAAACUCUUUCAGACCAGCCUCUGAUGAGGCGCUUCAGCAGCUUUGCCUUUUCAGGCUCAAAAUACUGACACUUUACAGUAGCUGCAGUCUCCAGAAGAACCUAGAAGUUGUUUUGCUUGCCUUUUUUUGCCCUGGUAGAGCACCCACAUAAUGGCAUUACAUAUAUGUAUUAUCUCAACUUGCUCGUUCUCCCCUUUUAGACUUGCAUCUGUAUAAAUUGCUCCAAGACGUUAAGAGAGAUCAUAUUUGACUUUAUAUCCCAGUUGUUCAUCUCUGUGAAGGUGAAAAAAUAUUUAUUUUAUAUAUGGUUUAAUCCAUCAGAGGGAAAAAACUUUGUCAUAUCCUCACGUGUUCUACAUAUAAAGCACUUUUUUGGACAGACA